CCAGUACCGACGACGAGUGGGAUGAGCGCUUCGCCUGCGCAUGUGUGUCAAGCUUUCGUCCAGCGGAACAGCCAGGCAGAGCUCGAGUGCGUCAUUGAACGCCUUCCAACUACUUGUCAACACCACCAUCGAUAACGGAGCGAGCAGCACAACAGGGCAACGACGAAGAGGACCGUCUUCCCGAGCAUGCAGGCAUGCAAGCUUGGUGCACAGCGCAUGCUUCUCAACUGCUAAUCAACAAGGAAAGAUCCUUAUCAGGCAAGAAUCACUAAAUCCAGUACCGGGCACUGUACCUGUUCUGUCCAGAGUACAUCUCAGCAUUGUUCUUGUGACACAACAACUGCCAGUGAAAGGUGAGAGGGGCGGUAUCUUUCAGCAUGUAUAUCCAGUUAGCAGUUUUGCAUGGCGCCUCGCCUGUGCACAUAUAGGACGCACGACACUCUGGCACCACGAAAGCUGAUUCAUUUACUGGCAUCCUGUGGUGGGAAAUCUGGUCGGGAAAACAAUCACGCUUGUGCCAAGCCAUGGCGGCGAGAGCAGGUACGAAUAGCAGGAGAUUGUCAUGGUCUCGGGUUCAUUUGUGAUGCGAACCAAGCUGAUUCCGUGCCAUCAGCAACGUCUGGCAUGGCUUAUUAGUGUCCGGUGAUUUGCGGGGAGAAUGCUGUGGGAUCGCUUGUAUCUACUCUACACUCGGCAGGCGAUCGGAGGGGAUGAUUCGAACGUGCUGGGAAAGGGACUUUGCCAAGACGAGGCGCCCAUCGAACAGUCAACAGCGUUCCUGAGUGGAGAGUGGGAGAAAGAGGAAUGAAAACACGUCCAGCCAGCAGAUGUUGCAGCAGACGUGGCGCAAUGGUAAUUGUGAUCCAGACAGUCUGCGUAAACACUGCAGGCUGACUACUUGCUUGCCAGAGAACCUCGCACUAUUACGUCAGCACCGGGAAUGAAGAAUGAGAAGCAACCCACGCCACAUUGCCACGAGAGAGUGAGAGAAGGCUAUUCCCUGGAAGGUACCGAUGUGUUGGUAUACUUAACCUCGGUCGUCUCCACUGAAGUCACGGCACAGCACCAUCAGAAUCACCUUCCAUACUUGGCCUGAUCGUGACGUCAGUGCUUCGAAGUAAUCUAUGAAGUACUACAGAAGCAUUCUCUAACCAGCAGCAGCGUAUAGCUAAAGGAAGUUGGCUACCCAUCCAACAAUCACUACAGUAUCUUUAAUACUCAGAUUCUGACUGUGAAUAAUGUUGCAACGCAUGUUCAUUGGCAUUGCGGCUGGUCAUGUCACUGAGGAAUGUCCGGCGCAGUCUCUGUACAGGUACUGUGGCGUGCAGUAACUGGCCAGUGCAGAGAGCCAGCGCGACGACAACAGAGAUUCCUCAUUUCCAGUCUCCUUGAACGAUAUCGGCUUGUUGAAUGGAGGUAAGAAAGGAAGUAGUUGCAGCGCCAGCAAAACAAUGCCUGUAGAACCUUGUCUGGCACCAGAAAGUGCCCUUCUUUAGGUUCACCAGUACCGGUAGUCCUUAUCCGACAAUAUGAACUGGUAACCAGUGGUAAUUAACCGUUCUUACGUAACCAGGCAGUCGCUCAAGGACUACGGUCAAUCAGUUGCAAAACUGCCCCACCUACGCAGCGGAAGUUAGUACCGGAGCUAGCAAAUAGGACAAUGUCAACUCCGAACACACGCUGGUAUGCAUCAAUGCAUGCUGCAACAAUACACAUGAUGCUAUGCUGUAAGUUAUGUUCAACAGUUGAACGUCCUUGAGGCAGUUUGUAUACGUAUUCAUAAGCCUGUUUUGUGUAAGCAGAAAGAGCACGUUGUUGCACUGAGGUUGUAUUCGUAGGUUGACACUUCGUUCAGUGCCUUCUCACCUUUGGUUACGUACUCUUGUUACCUUUCUGCGUUUCCUCUAGUGGUUUUAUUGCACUUGUAUCAUGAUGUUGUUUCUAACACCUUUCUAUUACAGUACUUAACUAACACUGCGGUUUCUUUGGUUGUAUCCUUUACUUUAGUUCCGUAUUUUUCCCACUGAUGAUAGGAACGAGAAAAUCGAUUCUGGGUUUCAAUGAUAUUAUUUCUUGUUAUAAAAUACACGGUCAUACAUGUCGACAAGUAACGUACAUGUAGUUGCGUGAUGUCUGCGGCCUUCAUCCUAUUCAUAGCUAUAUGCUGUAAGCAGAUAUCUGUACGCAUUUUUUUCCGAAUCUAGUCCGCAUUCAGCCACCAUACACCUACAUCACUCGUCAUUAACAAUACAGUGUAGAUUUCUUGUCUAACGCAAUAACUUCGUUUAGAUAUCACGCUUGUGCCUGUACCUGA